AUACAGCAGAGAAACUACUCUCCUUUGCUACGCCAUCGGGUGAGCUAAACUAUGCUUACCUGAUGGUGUAGCAAAGGGAAGUUAUUCUUGCCUAAACUAUAUC
rnacentral:pre_miRNA from 1 species